GAUAAACGCUGGCGGCGUGCUUCAGGCAUGCAAGUCGAACGAGCUUCAGGACUUCGGUUCUGCGGCGAGUGGCGGACGGGUGAGUAACACGUAAGCAACCUGCCCAAAAGUGGGGAAUAACUAGCCGAAAGGCGAGCUAAUACCGCAUGUGAUGGUUCUCCCCUGGGGGGAUCAUGAAAGGCUUUUGUCGCUUUUGGAGGGGCUUGCGGCUGAUUAGCUAGUUGGUGGGGUAAUGGCCUACCAAGGCAACGAUCGGUAGCUGGUCUGAGAGGACGGUCAGCCACACGGGGACUGAGAUACGGCCCCGACUCCUACGGGAGGCUG
rnacentral:rRNA from 1 species